rnacentral:piRNA from 1 species
UUCAAUGCCAGUCUGAGACAUGUUCCC